GCCAUCUCCUUCCUCCAAAAUUUGCCUUUUAAUAAUCUCAUUUUGAUUUCUCGAUUUAUGUUUUUUCUGAACAAAAUAGGUGCAGAUUGGACGAUGAAGAGACGAGGAAGGAUGUUAGGAAGAGUGAAGAACAAGGCGGACCUUCUCUGGUGGAAGAACAAGAUGAACCCUCUUUUGUGGGUCCUGUUUUUGGCAAAAUAUGUGGGGACUCGAAUGACAAUGAGCAGGUGCCAUUAAUUCCUACAAUGGCCUUUUUCUUCUUCUCAGAAGCCAGAUAAUGUUCAGUUGGAAGAGAUGGAUAUGAGGUGGCGGAAUGGCAAGGCGUCUGGUCAGAUGACCUGUGUCUGUGGUCAGUUGGUGGAUCUCGACUACAGGAACAUCACCGAUGCAAUCCAUAGUAGAUUGGAGAAAGUGAUGCGUGUUAGCCGUGAACUUAAUGGGUUGCUUGUUCCUUGCAGAUGAAUCCAUUCUGAUGAGCUUUGUAAAUAUUAGAUAAAAUUUGAUGUUGUCCCCUUGAGAUUAAACGGAUGCGUCACACUAUCAGAUGAAAUGCGUGUUACAUCAAACAAAAUCCAUGAUCGAGCUACCUUGGACCCUACUGCUUCAAGCACUAUCUAAGAAAGGCAUAUGAUCCAGACUCAGAUUCAAGCUGCAUUGAGGGUUAUGCUUGAGACAUGGAUGAUGGCUACAACCACUAUGUGCGACCGUAGGCUACGGCGGAGACAGGCCCCAGGCAGCCUGAGCCGAUGCCUGGGGCAUGAGGCUGAUUCCCUUCGUACACUGUAGAGAACACUGUAGCUACAGUGUUGCAGUGCUUCCUAGGCCGGCCGGGGGCGUGGCUGAAUCCUGGCGCCGCCACUGACCAUAGGCAUGCCUGCUUAGACGAUGAAAUUAUGUUCAAUACUGCUGGGACAUGUAACGAUGACUCAACUUAAUACCACCACCUUCUCGCGUCUUGGUCCUUGCUGCGAGCAAGACAAUGCAUCUCUGGCCUUUGCUAAUAUAGCUUACUUUUAUAAAGCCAAUGUAUGCCAUUAUCAAGUGAUAUGAAUAUCUUCUUUUAAGCUA